AAAAAAAAAAAAAAAAAAAAAAAAAAUUCCUGAACAUUGUAACACAAUUUAUCUAUUUGUGAGUACUGCGAAAUAGAUCAGUUAAAAUCAAGUAAUUCUUGACGGGCGCGGUGGCUCACGCCUGCAAUCCCAGCACUUUGGGAGGCCGAGGAGGGUGAAUCACCUGAGGUCGGGAGUUCAAGGCUAGCCUGACCAACAUGGAGAAACGCCAUCUCUACUAAAAAUACAAAAAAAUCAGCCGGAUGUGGUGGUGCAUGCCUGUAAUCCCAGCUACUUGGGAGGCUGAGGCAGGAGAAUCGCUGGAACCCAGGAGGCAGAGGUUGUGGUGAGCCGAGAUCAUGCCAUUGCACUCCAGCCUAGGCAACAAGAGUGAAACUCCGUCUCAAAAAAAUAAAUAAAUAAAUAAAUAAAUAAAGUAAUUCUCCAAAAGCAAUGCCUUUGAAAAGCAGAAAGGGAAUACCUAUACUCCAAAUGGCUGAGCUACAACAAUAGAUACUAUUAAAGAGAAAUGUGUACAGAAAAUAUGCCACUGUUCCACUCCAGUAAUUAUUCUGGCUAACCAGUGCUUUAGUCAUGUAAUAUUAUUAAUACUUAUUUAUAGCUUUUAGAUGUCAUCUGGGAAAAAAAAGUCAGAUGUUUAAAUAUGACUUAUAAACUUAAAUAAUCACACAUUUUUACAUAUGAAGAACUAAUGCAAGGGGAUAUUGCAGUAUGUUUAUUAAUCAAUUUGCUCUCUGUAAAAUUUUUAAUGAGACCAGGAGUGUGCCAUCACUAUCGAUAUCACAAAAUGCUUAUUUCAAAACUUUAAUUCCGAUUUUAAUGAGUACAGUUUAGCUUAUAACUGAUUAAUUUUGGCAGCAUUUGUUAAGUUUUUCAAUAGUAUAUUUCAGUUCAGCUAAACAAUUUUAUAUCCUCAAAGGAGAUAAUGCUUAUAAAACAGAAAAGUGUAGUUAUUUGAAUUUGUGGUUCAGAAGGCACACUGAUACACAUUAGCUCAUUUAAUUCUACCCUUUGAGGGAGAAGACAUUAUCAUUCUCGUUUUAGAAGUGAGUAAUCAGAGGGAAGUUAAAUAACUUUUCCAAGAUUCAUGCCUAAAUCUGAAUACUCAUGUCCUCUUAAUAUCAGAUUCUAUGCCUCUGUAUUUAAGGAUUUUUCUGAAAAAGUCUGAGCAUUAGAGACAAGUAUUUUUCAAAAAUCUCUUGAAAUUAAUAAAUGCUCCUUCAGUGCUUUUGAGUGCCAAAGAAGAUGUGCCAUAUACACAAUUUGAAACAGCAUUUCUUCUGUAUGAAGAGGAUAAAAGACUUUUUCCCUGUUUGAACCAAUGUAAAUGUUAUAGAUUCUUCUACACUCCUUUCUGAUUUAUAAACGUGUUAAUUUGGAGAAUGUUCUCACAACCUAAAAAAAUCAUUUCUAAUGUCUGCUACAGUACUGUGAAGUGACAUUGAAAAAAGAAUUUAUUAAUUUAUAUUUUUAAAGACUAUGAUCAAAUAGCCCUCCAAAUCUUUCCAGUGUUAGCUAAUUUUAUUUAAUGCCUACUAUAUACUGCACAUUGUUUUCAAUGCUGUAAGUGUUCUAUCCCACUCAGUCCUCACAGUUAUACAAAGUAAGAGCUGAAAUUGCCCCACGUUGCAAGUGAGGAAAGUGAGGUGCUGGGAGGUUUCAGUCUUACAACUUAACUAGAGUGGUAGGGCUAAAAUGAAAAUCCUGGCAGUCUAACCACCCCUUCACAGCUGCUUCCAAGGCAUAUUGUUAAUUCACGCUACUGCCAACUCAUGCUCCCAAGUUGUUUCUACAGAAUACUCAUGUUUUAAUUUUUCUAAUUAGACAUCUCCAAAGAAUCUAUAAGCACAUUUUCUCCUUUGCAGAGACAUUCUAAGAAUGUACAUUUUAGAGACUACUGUGGCCAUGUAGGAAUUAGACAUAAAGGAACAGAACAAUGAUUUAAGUGGGAGGAUUCUUCACUGAUCGAAACAGAUGCCAAAUGCUUGAAAAAAGGAAUCAAUCAUACAUAAGUAAGAAAUGCUAUCUAUAUAGGACAAAAUAAAUGUUUUCCUGUUUUAGCAGUUAGUCUUUAUUGAACAUAAGAGCCCGUAGAAUAGAGAAAGUAAUAAGAGUAAUAACGUAGUCUUUUCGACAUGUUCUAAGGGCCCAUUUGUAUUUAUAUAUUUUUUGAAUAUAAAAUUAUAGAAAUAAACACAUUUAUCACAUUUGUUUAUAUCAUGAUUCUAAUAAGACCUUUGUCCAUUCACUGUCAACAAAAAUAAGGUCAAGUUGUACAAACAAAAGCGGCUGGGUGCCGUGGCUCACACCUGUAACCCCAGCACUUUGGGAGGCUGAGGCAGACCAAUUGCUUGAGCCCAGGAGUUCGAGACCAGACUGGGCAACAUGGCAAGACCUCAUCUCUACAAAAAAUACAAAAAUUAGCUGGGUGUGGUGGUGUACACCUGUGGUCCCAGCUACUUGGGAGGCUGAGGUGGGAGGAUUGGUUGAGCCUUGGAGGUCAAGGCUGCAGUGAGCCCAGUGAGCCCAGUAAGCAUCAUGCCUCUGCACUCCAGCCUAGGCAGCAGAGAAAGACCCUGCCUCAAAAGAAAUUAAUGAAAUUUAAAAAUGAAAGCAACCAAUAUUCCUUUGUAUUUAAAGAUUACUUUCACAAAUAUUUAGGUAUAUCUCAAGUCUUCAAGCUCAAAGAAAAAAGAAUGGCUACUGGGGUCGUUCCUUAGUCUGGAAAUUUUCCUUUGAUCAUUUAUUUUCUCCCUCCACUCUAACAUAUCUUUUAAGAUAAGAAAAUUGAUAAAAUAGUUUUAAAAUAAUUUUUAGUAACACAUUCAAAUUGACAUUUCCAGUUAUUUUCAUUGUAGAAAACAGGAAAUCAGUAGUCUUAAAGGCCAACAUCUUUUCUGAUUUUAAUACCAUUAAUAAAAGAAGAAAAGAAAAUCCUAAAUGUAUGCACUCUAAAUUGGAGUCAGAGACACAAAAUCAAUUCCCAAAAAUAUUAUGACCACAAAAAUUUAAAUGCAACAGCACAAUUUACAUAUGGUAGAUGUUUACAAAACCUUUCUAAUGAAUGAUAAAUUAGAAUGAUUAAAGAGGAAAUGUUAGAUUUUUAGACAAAAUUGUGAGAUGGGAUUUAGGAGAAAAAGCCCAGCAAAAUGAUUUGUUUUAUAUGCAAUAUAUACACACUUAUCACAUUCAAGAAAAUUAAAAAUAUGACUGACUCAGCCCCUUCACUGAGUUAAACAUAAAGUUAAUUGCAAAGAUACCAACAAAGUUUUCCAUCAAAAACUGGAAAGGUCCAGGUAUUUUCUUGCCACAGUUAUUUAUAGACAGGAAUGAUAAUGCCAACUUAGUGGUUUAACUUCAGUGUUUCAAAAGAAUUUAUUCAAGAGACAUACUGAUAUAACUGACAUACAAAAUGGUUAGUAGAUGUACAACUGUAUUACAACUCAAGGUAUAUUUCGAGUAAAAUGGGAGUAAUACUGUUUUACCCCAAUGUUGAUCCCAAAUUAUUUGAUAAUAAAAACAAGAGCUUUGAAAGAAAUACUUCCAAUUAAAAGCAUCUUGAGAAAGGUGCUAAGUUUUCUUUGUUAUUUCAAGUAUAUAGCAGAAACUUAACAGUUCUUAUAAAAAAUGUUCUAAAUCCUAUACUAUGUAGUAACAUUGUCAACAUAAGUGAUCACAUGAACUUUACUACUGAACGUUUCACAAGGUGUUUCUGAAGAACAUAAAGUUCAGACAUUACGGCAUUAAAAACAAGCUCAUUAUUAAAAUUUUGGUCAAGGGCAUGCAAUGGUAUUAAAUUUCCUUCUCUGUUCUUUCACUUGAUCCCUGUAAAAUUCUCCUUGCCCAACCUAAGCCAAUAACAACUUGCUGACUACUCUUUUUCAUUAAGCAUCAUGCCCAAAGCACUUUUUUUUUUGUAAGAAGCAAAGUUCAGUGAAAAUGGUAAUAGGAUAUGAGUUGAAUCUGUAUCUCCUUUUCUGAUAGCUUUGGGAAGGAGGGGGUCCUGGAGGAGAAUGUAACAAUCAUAGCAUUGGAGGAUGACAAUAAGAUCCAUUAAAUUGCUGUGAACAUUUAUAUAAUCAUGGUGGGCUGAAUAACAGCCUCCAAAAGAUAUCUACAUCCUGAUCCCCAAAGCUUGUGAUGUUACCUUAUAUGGCCAAAAGACUGCAGAUGCUACUAAAUGAAGAAUCUUUUUUUUUUUUUGUGAGACGGAGUCUUGCUCUGUCAGCCAGGCUGGAGUACAAUAGCCUGAUCUGAGCUCACUGCAACCUCUGCCUCCGAGGUUCUAGCGAUUCUCCUGCCUCAGUCUCCUGAGUAGCUGGGACUGCAGGCAUGUGCCACCAUGCCUGGCUAAUUUUUGUAUUUUUAGUAGAGACAGGGUUUCACUGUGUUGGCCAGGCUGGUCUCAAACUCCUGACCUUGUGAUCUGCCUGCCUCAGCCUCCCAAAGUGCUGCCAAAAGUGCAGCCAGCUCUACAUUAUUAAAAUGUCCAAAGAGAAUAGCCUUUGGCACUGUUUUCAGUAAUUCUGUUCUAAUAAAACAUUAAUUUAGCAUUCAUCUUAUUACUAGUUGUGCCAGACGAGUCACUCGUUUAAGACUCAGUUGCUAACAUACAUUCAAAAUGGCUUUGAUAUACAAGUCAAGUCUUUUGAAUGGCCAAAUACAUUGGAUAUUGGACACCAGUCCCCAACCCUUCUUCCCUUCCCUUCCCAUUCACUGCUCCACUGUACUCUUCCCUCUGCUCCCAUUUUCCUUACCGUAACUCAGAAAUUGAAAUUACAGCCAUCUUCAUGUUGACAAAACCCCCAAAUAGUAAUAUUUUAUUUUCUUCUUUGUGGUAAUUGUGCAGCAGCAGUCAACUAAUAACACCAUUCACCAUUCUGCUCGUCCUAAGUGCAUAAUGAGUGUAUUUCAUGAAUAGUACUGCUACAGAAACUGGAUAAAAAUAAGUAGAGGGGGCCAGGUGCGAUGGCUCACGCCUGUAAUCCCAACACUGUGGGAGGCCGAGGCGGGCGGAUCACCUGAGAUCAGGAGUUCAAGACCAGCCUGGCCAAUAUGGUGAAACCACGUCUCUACUAAAAAUACAAAAAUUAGCUGGGCAUGGUGGUGUGCGCCUGUAAUCCCAGCUACUUAGGAGGCUGAGGCAAGAGGAUUGCUUGAAUCUGGGAGGCAGAGGUUGCAGUAAACCAUGAUUAGGCCACUGCACUCCAGCCUGGGCAACAGAGUGAAACUGUGUCUCAGGAAAAAACGUAUAUGAUAAUUUACGGGCUGCUACAUUGUUAAGGACUACAAGAUGGGAAAUAUGGGAUUCUGUUCUCCUUAGGAAAAAAAAGGAACAGGGACCAGGUGCAGUGGCUCACACCUGUAAACUCAGCACUUUAGGAGGCAGAGAGGGGAAGAUGGCUUGAGCCCAGGAGUUCACGACAAGCCGAGGCAACUUAGUGAGACCCCAUCACUAUUGUGAAACCAAAACAUCUGAGACAGGUCUCAGUCAAUUUAGAAAGGUUAUUUGGCCAAGGUUAGGGAUGCACCUGUGACACAGCUGCAGGAGGUCCUGAUGACAUGUGCUCACGGUUGUUGGGGUGAAGCUUGCUUUUAUACAUUUUAGGGAGACAUAACACAUCAAUCAAUACAUGUAAGGUUUACAUUGGUUUGAUCUGGAAGGGCAGGACAACUCAAAGCUCUGAGGGAGGGGGUGGGGCUUCCAGGUCAUAGGUAGAUUUAAAAAUUUCCUGAUUGGCAAUUGAUUAAAAGAGUUAUCAGUAGAAAGGAAUGUCUGGGUUAUGAUAAGGGUUUGUGGAUAAGGGGUUGCAGAGAUCUAUGUUUCAUCAUGCAGAUGAAGCCUCCAAUUAACAGGCUUUGGAGAGAAUAGACUACCAUAUAAAGGUCUGUGUUGACGUUAAUUCUAGAGAGGUAUAAUGAGGCAUGUCCAACCCCUUCUUCUUUCAUGGCCUGAACUAGAUUUUUAGAUGACUCUGGCAUGUCCUUGACUGAGAGGAGGGGUCCAUUCAGAUGGUUGAUGUCCUUCAAAUUUUAUUUUUGGUUUACACUAUCAAUGUUUUUUUCUUUUUUCUUUUCUGAGACAAGGUCUCACUCUGCUGACCAUACUGGAGUGCAGUGGCAUGAUCUUGGCUCACUGCGGCGUCCGCCUCCUGGGUUCAAGUGAUUCUUGUGCCUCAGCCUCCCUAAUAGCUGGGAUUACAGGUGUGUGCCACUAUGCCUGGCUAAUUUUUGUAUUUUUUUGUAGACAGAAGAUUUUGCCAUGUUGGCCAGGUUGGUCUCGAACCUCUGGCCUCAAGUGAUGCACCUCAGCUUCCCAAAGUGCUGGGAUUACAGGUGUAAGCCACUGCGCAUGGCCUACACUAUUAAUUUUAAAUAUAUAUAUGUAUGUAUAUAUGUAUUUAUGUAUAUAAUGAAAAGAAAAACUACAAACAUUUAAAGUUGGUCCAACUUUGGUGUCAUUAAUUAAAUAUCUACUUCCUGUUCUUUAGGAGACAAAAAUGCCAUUUCUUGUUUUUUUUACAUAUCAGUGAGGGCACAAACUGAGGCAACUUCCCCAAACCUCAUCCCCAGCUCAAAGGUGUAUUUACAUAACCUUAUUCUAAACAAAGGACAAAUAGGAAGUAGGAGAACAGUUUGGUUCAUAUUUCACCAAAGAUAUAUUUCCUUCAGGUUAAAGGCAAUCAGAGACUUCCAAAUCAUUGUGAGACAGCCAAGUAUAAAGGGGUCCCGGGAGAAAUUCCAACUGGCCUGCACACUGGGAGAAUACGGAAAGGCCCCAGAAGAGCAGAGACUGAAGUCUCUACACAGAUUGAAUUGCAUUUUCUUCACUAUUUCAGGUCAUUCUAGAAUGAUUCUAACAGUACAUUUCAGUAAAUUGUAUUAUACUUAGACCACCAGCAGAAAUCUGGAAUAAUUGGGUCGUUGAAGAAUAAACACUAAAGGCAGGACAAGGGGGUCAAUCGUGGAGCAAGAACUUCAUUCAGGAAACUGAGGUCCAUAAAAGGCUCGGGCUCAGCCAGAGCAGAGCAGAGGGCAGAAGAUGGAGAGACAACAGGAGGACCAGCUGCAAAGAGGAGCUACCCUCUCUGCUGAGCACUUCAGAGGCCUGUAGAGAUGUCUGCACAGCCUGUGGAGAGGAGCCACCCUUUCCAGGGCCUCCUCGCUGCCACCCUCUCCAGGGCCGCCUGUCUGCUGAGAGCUGAACACUCAAUGGGAGGACUUGCCUACAGAAAGGAGUUAUCCACUGUGGGUCUCUUCUGAACUGUUCUAACACUAAAUAAAACUCCUCUUCGUCUUCUUCACCCUUCACUUGUCUGUGUACCUCAUUCUUCCUGGAUUCAGGACAAGAACUCAGGCAAAAGUGCCACCAGCCACAGAGGUUUCCAGGAAGAAAACUGACACCCCAGAGAUCCCGUAACAUUGCUAUUUUCUUCCACUGAGGCCUAAGCUGAUUUUCAAUGACAAUGACCCUGAUAUACUGUUGAGUGGUUUGAAUGGCAGCUGUAAU